CGUGUAGGCGGCCAGGUAGGUCCGUUGUGAAAACUCGAGGCUCAACCUCGAGACGUCGAUGGAAACCAUCUGGCUAGAGUCCGGAAGAGGAGAGUGGAAUUCCUGGUGUAGCGGUGAAAUGCGCAGAUAUCAGGAAGAACACCUAUGGCGAAGGCAGCUCUCUGGGACGGUACUGACGCUGAGAGCGAAAGCGUGGGGAGCGAACGA
rnacentral:rRNA from 1 species